UUCUUAUAGAAAUUAUUAUAAGUAAAACCUGCUCAAUGCCUAAGUAAAUAGCCGCAGUCACCUGUGCUAAGGUAGCAUAAUCAUUAGUCUUUUAAUUUGAGGCUAGAAUGAAAGGUUAAACAUUUUUAUAACUUUUUUUAUAAUUCCAAAUUUAAAUUAUAUUAUAAAUAAAAAUAUUUAUAUAAUUAUAAUAGACGAAAAGACCCUAUUAAACUUUACUUAAGUUAAGCUGGGGCAGCUAAUUAAUUAUUACUUUAAUUUUAAUACUAAAAUACCCUGUAAUACAGAAAUAAUCAAGUUACUAUAGGGAUAACAGCGUAAUUUUUUUUAUCAGAUCUUAUUUAAAAAAAAUAUUACGACCUCGAUGUUGAAUAGUUCAUCUUAUAUUUGCAAAAAAAUAAUAAGAAGGUCUGUUCGACCUAUAAAUAACUACA
rnacentral:rRNA from 1 species